GAUGAACGCUGGCGGCGUGCUUAACACAUGCAAGUCGAGCGAUGAAGUUUCCUUCGGGAAACAGAUUAGCGGCGGACGGGUGAGUAACACGUGGGUAACCUGCCUCAUAGAGUGGAAUAGCCUUCCGAAAGGAAGAUUAAUACCGCAUAAUGUUGAAAGAUGGCAUCAUCAUUCAACCAAAGGAGCAAUCCGCUAUGAGAUGGACCCGCGGCGUAUUAGCUAGUUGGUGGGGUAACGGCCCACCAAGGCGACGAUACAUAGCCGGCCUGAGAGGGUGAUCGGCCACACUGGGACUGAGACACGGCCCAG
rnacentral:rRNA from 1 species